CCCCUCCCCCGGCCCCCCGGGCGCGUCCAUGCCAGGCCCUUCGCUGAGCCGGCUCUCCGCCAGUAUUAUCUCACAGGAGGACCACGGGCUGCUGUCCCGGCUGGCCGCGCCCCGGCCCGAGCCCAGCAGGCCGAGCUGGUCCUCCUCGCUGUUGGGGAACAGGAAGCCGUCCUCCUCGCUGUGGGGGAACAGGAAGCCGUCCUCCUCGCUGUGGGGGAACAGGAAGCCGUCCUCCUCGCUGUGGGGGAACAGGAAGCCGUCCUCCUCGCUGUGGGGGAACAGGAAGCCGUCGUCUUCGCUGUGGGGGAACAGGAAGCCGUCCUCCUCGCUGUGGGGGAACAGGGUCCUGGUCUCCAUGGGCGUGGCCCUGUCGUCGGGCGUGGCCUUGUCGUCGGGGGUGGCGCCUUCGCGGAGGUUGUCGUAGACGGACAGGACGCUCUGGUGGUCCACGCUGCGCGCCGGGCUGGGGCUGUCCAUCUCCUCCCCCCCGCAGCCCUCCGCUCCUCCUCCCCCCGCUCCCUCUCCCGGCGGCCGCCCGCCGUUCCACCCCCCCUCGGCCCCCCGGCCCCCGGCCCAGCUGCAGUAGCUGUGGUCUGGCCGGGCUCCAGCCCCGGACCGCCCCGCCCCCGGGGGUAGCGUGGGAACGUGAGCCGCGCCGGGCGCCAGGCCGGCCCGGGGCCCACGAGGCGCCGCCGGGAGCAGGGGGGGCAGCUGUCGUACAGCAGGUCAGUGGAGCCGCGGCUGGUCGCCGUCGGGGUCUCGCUGGGCAGGCGGUGCGGCUCCAUGAUCCGGACAGGCAGGGCAGGGGGGGGCACCCGGAGCCUUAGAGGACCGCCACCACCCCCCCACCACCUUACCGCUACCUACCACCCUCCUACCCCCCCGUCCCCACCCCUCCGCUCUCAGCAGGGGGGCAAACGGGAGGAUUCAGGUCUUGUUGGUGCCUUCCAAGUUCUAGAAUGGAGCAGGUGUCGGGAUGGGCUGAGACUCCCCGCUGAGCGCCCCAGGAGGUGCAGGUCGGGUCCCGGAGAGAGCGCUGUGGAAGCCCCCCGGAGCUGAGGUGGCUCUGAGGUCUCCACCCGGCGCCGUCGGCUCAAGGUAGUCAGGUUGUUGAGUGGCUGG
ensembl:lncRNA